CAGACCUAGACGAGCUCAGCUGCUCCCUCUCCCUCUCCCUCUCCCUCUCUAGGAACUUUCACUCUUUAAUCCGAAGAUAAUUGCCGAGUCGAAACGAUUACGACGACCGACUUUUCGCGUUGAGGGAGAGAUUUCUAUUCUUCCGUAGACUGACUUCCGUUGCCUAGUGGAAGCGUCAAAGUACUCUUUUUGUGUUUGAUUUUGAUAUAUAAACAUGCCAAAGGAGAGAAGAGACCGUUCUGUGUCUUUUGAUAGAUUCCGGACCUCUUAUCCGUGUAGUUCUAGUCAUGCUGGACGAUCUUCGGCCCAAAUCCCUCUAGAAACUGAAGAGAAUUUCAAGGAAUGGGAAGAAGCUAGGUGCCCUGUCUGCAUGGAGCAUCCUCACAAUGCAGUUUUACUUAUAUGUUCUUCCCAUGAGAAAGGCUGCCGCCCUUACAUGUGCGACACCAGUUAUCGCCACUCCAACUGUCUUGAUCAGUUUCACAAGUCAUUUGCAGAAAGCUCAUCCACAACAGCAUUACCAGAAGAAACUCAGCUCCCAACCGUCAAUUUAUCUGAAGUUGUACCUUUAGAGGCCUCAACUACUGAUUUGCAGCAAGAAGAAAGAAGUGAGGGAGUGUCUUUGACCACUCCUACUACUGCUUUUGAGAGCAAGACGCAAACAAAGCUAGUAUGUCCCCUUUGUCGUGGGGAGAUCAAAGAUUUUAUUGUCGUGGACCCUGCUCGACGUUUCAUGAACGCAAAGUCUAGAAGCUGUGCCUGUGAGACAUGUGAUUUUAGUGGUAGCUAUACAGAUCUCAGGAAGCAUGCAAGGCUUGAGCAUCCCCUUGUGCGACCAUCUGAAGCUGACCCGGAACGGCAACGUAGUUGGAGGAGGAUGGAGCGGCAGAGGGACCUUGAGGACUUGCUAAGCACUCUACAAUCUUCAUUUGGUGAGGAGAGGAGUGAUGACAGCAUUUUGCCCAUUGGUGAUGGGGGUUGGCUUACUGUCUACUUGCUUAUUCGUGUUUUUCGACCUGGGUCCAGUACGAGGAGCAGCAGCUGGUCUGGUAGCUCAAGAACCAGAGCGCAACUGAGUAUUAGAAGGAGAUCUACCCGACUAUGGGGAGAGAGCUAUGAUGGGGAAACCGUAUCUUCUUCCCGAGAUGAGGACAAUGAGUCUUCUGAUGGGGGCUCAGGCCCUAGGAGGCGCAGUGAGCGUAUCCGACAACGACGGACAAUGCCAGACCAGCCAUGAUGUUAUACAUGGGUUGUGUUCCAUUGAUUGUGGUUUUAAUUUUUUCAACUGUGGAACAGGAGUGGGAAGUUAUGUUGCUGGAGCAUUGGAGUCCGGUCUACUUGAAGUCAGACAAUUGUGCAUGGAAUUGAUGGCAUGUGAUCAUAGAAGUAAACUUGGAAGAGAAUCAAUUUAUACAUCCUUUAAAAAAGGGACAGCUUGUCCCUUCCAUCUUUCGUUGUGUUAAAAAAAAAGUACUUACUGUUUCUAAAACUACUUUUGUGGUGGAAGAAGUAUUAAUAUGGUUCUUAUUUGGAAGAUUGGUGCGCUUAAAAAUGAGUUGAGGUUGUUGCCCGAGUAGUAGUUGCAUUUGCUUCCAGGGCCAUGAGAGCUCGUUCCAGUGGGAAUGCUUUGUAGGGGUUGACGAAGGUUUUAUGGGUGUAAAAUUGUGAACUCUUGUUUAUUUCUUCACUAAAUGACACAGAUUCUUUUCCAAAA